ensembl:lncRNA
UUAACUACAAACAUUAAAUUAUAUGCAUUUAUUUUGUCCUCACAUUCUUUCUUGUAACUCAUCCCUCUCAGUGACACAGCUGACUGAAUGGCUCAUUAUGCAGCUCAUUAUGCAGGCCUUUGUCUUCUCAGGUGUGAAUUCAUGAUAGUUGACGCCUACUCGCAUAUGACUUUUACCAACAAAAAGUGUCUUAGAAAAUUUAAAUCAAUAUAUUGUUUUCUGUAAGUGAGUAAACAAGAUGAUUUUCACAUCAUUUAGAAAAAAAAAAUUCUAGGCUACAAGCUCCAGUUCUCAAAAGUCCCCGGAACCAAUUUUCUGUAUGUGUUUUAUUGCCUUUUUCAAGUGAUUUAACAUUUUUAGUUUUUCACUAACCACGCAUAACAUUUUUUUUCUCAAAAACACAAUCAUGUACAUACAUGCUGCUCACAUAUUAUCAUAGCCCAGUUUGUGCUGAUUACAGUGAGAUUAGACUUUAGCCAUUUAGAUAUUUAUAAGAAACUGAAAAAAGCACAAAUGUCAGGGCAUGACAAAACUUCUCCAGGCCCCAAAAAUACCCUUAGACUCCAGAGGGUUAAAUCGAUUUGAACUAGCGUCUAUGACCCAUAGACCGAUGGCCUGGUCGAACGAUUUAAUCGCACCUUUAAAUCCAUGAUCCGUAAAUUCGUUCAAGAAGACGCCAAGAAUUGGGAUAAGUGGCUAGAGCCCUUGUUAUUCGCUGUGCGAGAGGUCCCACAAGCCUCCACAGGGUUUUCCCCCUUUGAGCUUCUCUAUGGACGCCAGCCCCGAGGGGUGCUGGAUGUACUGAGAGAAACUUGGGAGGAGGGGCCAUCUCAGGGCAAAAAUGAAAUUCAGUAUGUGCUGGACUUGAGAACAAAACUCCACACUUUGGAGCGGCUAUCAAUGGAGAAUUUGUUACAAGCCCAGGACUGCCAAAGCCAGCUAUAUAACAGGGGAACUAGAUUACGCUAAUUUGCACUGGGAGAAAAAGUACUUGUAUUACUCCCAACGUGGAGCUCUAAGUUAAUGGCUAAGUGGCAGGGACCGUUUGAGGUCACACGACAAGUCAGAGAUCUCGAUUAUGAAGUAAUACGGUCCGAUAGGAAUGGGGCACGUCAGAUCUAUCACCUCAACCUCCUAAAAAAAUGGAAUGAGGCGGAAUCAGUGAUGUUGGCAACGGUGAUUGGAGGGGAGGAGGAUCUCAGACCAGAGGCGAAUGUCAAACCACAAUCCCUCGCCCUGGCCCCAGGGGGAGAUCACCUCUCGCCAUCCCAACUCACUGAUCUAACAAAAUUACAGGCCGAGUUUGCCGACGUCUUCUCACCCCUACCGGGCCUUUACCCAGGUAAAGGCUGCCCUGUGUGGCGGGCCGUUGUUACACUCUCCUGAUUUUUCUCUCCCUUUUCUGUUGCAGACGGAUGCGUCGGACAGAGGGCUGGGUGCAGUCCUGUCCCAGAAGAUGGAGGGGGAGGAACGGCCGGUGCUGUACACCGGAGGGAGAGAGAGGCUAAGUACAGCACCAUAGAGAAAGAGUGCCUUGCCAUCAGAUGGGCCGUCCUCACCCUCCGCUACUAUCUCCUGGGACGGGAGUUCACCCUCUGUUCGGACCACGCUCCUCUGCAGUGGCUCCACCGCAUGAAGGAUACCAAUGCGCGGAUCACUCUUUGGUAUCUGGCUCUACAGCCUUUUAAGUCCAAGGUGAUCCACAGGCCGGGUGUUUAGAUGGCGGUGGCCGACUUCCUCUCCAGAAAUGGGGGGGAGGGGGCUGCAGGCCGGAUGGCUCCCCGGCCUGAGUCGGGCGGUGGGGGUAUGUGGCAGGGGGGGCAUGGUUUAGCGAAGUCUGCAGCGGGAGAGAGAAUCAGGAGACGAACGGUAAGUGAGUGGUUUGGGCAGAGACGAGCAACACCUGUCUCUUGUUUCAGUAAUUGGCGUGGAGAGAGUAUAAAACGCCAGGAGAAACAGAAGCAGUGGAGAGAGAGACAGACUGCUGACGUACCCCAGAACCGGAAGAAGUCACCCGGAAGUGUUAUGCGAUCGUGUCUGUGUUGAUGUCAGAGUAAAAGUCACCGUUGGUGUAAAGUUAUUUUUGUUACUUGAAUAAAAAUAUGUCAGCAGUCCCUUUGUCCUCUUCCUUUCCUCACACGAACUUACUACACUCCAAUAAUAGUCAGUAAGAAAACAAACAGACAGAAAUCAGUUUGGAGAAGAUCAACAGCAUUUCAGAAUAUGAAGACAAUGCAGAAAAGUCGAGCGGAUGUGGCGGAAGACGAAACUUGAAAUUCACUAUAGCAUCUAUAAAGACAACCUUCAUGCUUUUAAUGUGAAACUAGCCACAGCUAGACAGAAUUUCUUCUCAAACCUUAUAAACAGUAACUUAAACAACACUCGUACUCUUUUUGCCACUGUUGAGAGACUGACAAACCUCCCAAGACAGAUUCC